rnacentral:rRNA from 1 species
AACCGGAGCUAAUACCGGAUAGUUCCUUGAACCGCAUGGUUCAAGGAUGAAAGACGGUUUCGGCUGUCACUUACAGAUGGACCCGCGGCGCAUUAGCUAGUUGGUGGGGUAAUGGCUCACCAAGGCGACGAUGCGUAGCCGACCUGAGAGGGUGAUCGGCCACACUGGGACUGAGACACGGCCCAGACUCCUACGGGAGGCAGCAGUAGGGAAUCUUCCGCAAUGGACGAAAGUCUGACGGAGCAACGCCGCGUGAGUGAUGAAGGUUUUCGGAUCGUAAAGCUCUGUUGUUAGGGAAGAACAAGUGCGAGAGUAACUGCUCGCACCUUGACGGUACCUAACCAGAAAGCCACGGCUAACUACGUGCCAGCAGCCGCGGUAAUACGUAGGUGGCAAGCGUUGUCCGGAAUUAUUGGGCGUAAAGGGCUCGCAGGCGGUUUCUUAAGUCUGAUGUGAAAGCCCCCGGCUCAACCGGGGAGGGUCAUUGGAAACUGGGAAACUUGAGUGCAGAAGAGGAGAGUGGAAUUCCACGUGUAGCGGUGAAAUGCGUAGAGAUGUGGAGGAACACCAGUGGCGAAGGCGACUCUCUGGUCUGUAACUGACGCUGAGGAGCGAAAGCGUGGGGAGCGAACAGGAUUAGAUACCCUGGUAGUCCACGCCGUAAACGAUGAGUGCUAAGUGUUAGGGGGUUUCCGCCCCUUAGUGCUGCAGCUAACGCAUUAAGCACUCCGCCUGGGGAGUACGGUCGCAAGACUGAAACUCAAAGGAAUUGACGGGGGCCCGCACAAGCGGUGGAGCAUGUGGUUUAAUUCGAAGCAACGCGAAGAACCUUACCAGGUCUUGACAUCCUCUGACAACCCUAGAGAUAGGGCUUUCCCUUCGGGGACAGAGUGACAGGUGGUGCAUGGUUGUCGUCAGCUCGUGUCGUGAGAUGUUGGGUUAAGUCCCGCAACGAGCGCAACCCUUGAUCUUAGUUGCCAGCAUUUAGUUGGGCACUCUAAGGUGACUGCCGGUGACAAACCGGAGGAAGGUGGGGAUGACGUCAAAUCAUCAUGCCCCUUAUGACCUGGGCUACACACGUGCUACAAUGGACAGAACAAAGGGCUGCGAGACCGCAAGGUUUAGCCAAUCCCAUAAAUCUGUUCUCAGUUCGGAUC